rnacentral:rRNA from 1 species
UUUAAAAUUUUAAAUAUUUUAGUACGAAAGGAUUAAAUAUUUUAAUUAAAUUAUAAAUUAUUUUGAAUUUUAUUAAAUAGUUUUAAUGAAUUUUUUUUUUUGUAAAUUUUAAUAUAUAUAUAUAUAUAUAUAUAUAUAUAUAAUAAGUUAAGA